UCUGUUUUCAGAGCAUGAAGACCAGGUUAUUAUCUGUUUUCAGAGCAUGAAGACCAGGUUAUUAUCUGUUUUCAGAGCAUGAAUAAGUGUAUGAUAUUUAUUUUAUUUGCAUUUACACUCUAAGAUUGCCCUAAUGCACCAUAGGUCUCUGGUCAAAAGCAGUGCACUAUUUAGGGAAUAGGGUGCCAAUUGGGACAGGUGGUGAAAGGUCAUGCCAUGGACAUACGACUUAAGCAUGGUGUUAAUUGGUCGAACUCUAACCACCAGUCAGCUCCAUCUGUUUCAGUUGGAAUGAAAAGGGUUUCAGAAAGCCCUGACAUUUAGGCCAGCUGACGCUGUUAUACUGUAUAUCUACUACAUUAUGGAGGGAACUGGUGUCACGUUCUGACCUUAGAUCUUUUGUUAUGUCUUUGUUUUAUGUUGUCUAUGUUCCUUUUUCUAUGUUUUGGGAUUUCUGUGUUUGGUCUGGUAUGGUUCUCAAUCAGAGGCAGCUGUCAAUCGUUGUCCCUGAUCGAGAACCAUACUUAGGUAGCCCGGUUUCACUUUUGAGUUGUGGGUGAUUGUUUUCUGUUUUGUGUCGACACCAGACAGGACUGUUUCGUUUCGUUCAUUCUCCGUUGUUAUUUUGUUUAGUGUUCUUUAUGAUAAUAAAUUAUCAAUAUGGACACUUA